GUGAAAGCCAAGUGCAUCUGCCACUCAGCAGCGGGAUUAGCUGCCAUCUAUCAGGGCUAAGUGGCUCGCACGCAGGCAGAUGUUGUGCUCCUGCGGGAGGUGGCAAAAAGCAGCAGCUCCCGCUCUCAGCGCCCAAAGCCGCGGCACCGAGGCACGAGGAGGGAGGAGCAGCACAAGGACCAGCUGUGAUGGGGAUGGGGAGAGGUGGGCUUUGCUCUGGGUUUUGGGACUCGGGACCGAUGAGGAGGAGGAUGGAAAUACGGCCAGGGCAUCCCACCCAUGGCUGGAGAAAGCAUCAGCGGCGUGAGACACCCCGGCAGCACUGAGCCUGAGAGGCAGACUGGUAAGGGGAACUGCGGCAGCACACGCAGGCAGGAUUUAGAGCAGAGCACAGCAGAGGGACAGAGAUGGACAAGGACGCAGCACCACGGCAGGUGGGGGAGCCUGCCCCUGAUCCCAACAAUAAUUCUCCUCACCCCCUCACCCCACACACACCUAAGCUGCCUCUCCCUGCUCCGCCAGGAUUUAAAGUGCAGACCUCUCCUCAUCUCCUCCCAAACCAACAGAUGGAUUCCCUCAGCUUUCCUGCUCCCCCUGCACCAACCCCGACCCAAAGGCUCAGGGGCAGCAGUGGGGUGACGAGCGCACCCCUGUCCUGCGCUAUGGGGCACAAGAGGAGGAGGCAGAGGCCCAGCUCUGCUUACAGCAACAGAAGUGGAAUAGGAGACAAAAAGAAAAAAAAAAAAAGGCAGCCGUAUUCUGGAAGAAGAGAAUCUAGGCUACAAUAUGAUGCUGAAGGAGAGACGUGCCGUGCCAGGACGCGGAAUGGUGCUGCAGUGAGGGCAGGCAGGGGAUGCCUGCUCGCAAGUCGCCGCUGCAGCACAGGGCUUGCAUAACCACGGCCCUCAGCACCGCAAGCUCCAAAGCCUGCUUUGCUCCACGUCCUCGCUGCCUCCCUCUCCUGCGGGUAUUAGAAGGAUACGUGACACUUCUGCAGCCCAUUUAGAAUACUAUCAGGAAAGAACUUAAGUGUGCUGGCUAUUUAUUAACAUCGUAGCAGCUACUGCCAUGCCUAAAAUGAAGUGGUGUGCAAGGGUUGUGUACUUCAGCACAGCAAAGUCCUGCUGUUAUUAGAGAAGUCUCGCCGCACUGAAAUGUGAUUUCUUCAGCCUUCAAGAAACGUGCUGAGCACUUGAACCAACUGCGGAGAACAACAGAACUGGGAAGAAUCAUUUAAUUUCUGCCGAUACAGAAAAACAACCAACUGACCUCCAGGCUACGUUCCCUCAACCAAGACCUGCAAAUCAUGCAGUGAUGCUACACAAGUUUUCAUUAAGAUCUACUGAAAUAAAGCAAACGAGAAAUACAGAAUGAUCCCAGAACAAGCUAGACUGCAAAAAUCUUCCAAGUGAAGCGUUGAGUUCUUCACAAUCAGAAAGUCAUCUAGAUAGAAAGAAAGAAAGAAAGAAAAAAGCAGGUAAGUCGUGCAUGUGUAUGCCCGAGCUGAAGUAUAUUGAGCAUCAGCAAUUUUAGUACCCCAGAAAAUCACUAGAAGCUAUACUGCUUUUGCCAUGCAGUUCAGAACUUUGUAUGCAGAAAAGUGAGGUUUCCUAGCUUUAAGAACCACCCAGAAGAAUUUAUUACAAUAAAAUAAAGGUCUUUGUGUAACAAAUC